UCCAAUAGAAGUAGGAUGUGAUUUGGGGGCCUUGACAGACAAAGUAGAGAGAGGAAGAGGAAGAAAAAGAAAGGGCCAAUGACGGCAAAAGCAGUUACGUCGCCUCUCUCUGUAAAUUGAAAAGACUUCAGCCUCAGGUGGGAGUUGGCUGGGCAGCACGAGCUUCUCCAUGCCCUGGGAGUUCUGGGAAGAGAGAGAACGAGAGGUGGAAGCUUACAAAAUCAGGCAGCAGACCAGAGCUGGGAAGAGAGGGCAAAGUCCUUCAACCGAGGACUAAAACAGAAUUCCCGGGUCAUCCCAUAACUCAGCACAAACAAUGGUGCCUCAAGAUGGCUAAGACGCCGAACCCUAGGGCAGGCCCCACAGCAAGCUCAUAAGGCAGCUUCCAGAAGAACCUGGGGUCAUCACGAAGGGAAAGAUAUGAUCUCUAUUUCCCAGGGUGGUUGGAAAUCUGCUGUUUGCUCCAGGGAAGACAUUAUCUCUAUCCUCCAAACUGUUUGCUAUAAAAACAUCGUUGAAAAGAUAGUGGAAACAAAAGGCAAUCAGUGCAUUGCUCAUAAGAUGUGCAGAAACAACAGCACAGAUACGAGGCCUGGAACCAGCCGCAGCGUCUUCUUGCCGCCAACCCGAAGAUGAAGCUGUGUUGCAAAAAGAACCCACAGGGAAGCAGACUAGAGCCAUCGGACAGAGUGAAUCCUAAACCCCUCUGGACUUCCCGCAAAGAAGCCUCCCUCUUGAAGCAAACAGGAAAAGAAUUUUGUUACUUUUAGCGGAAAGCAACCUAGCAACACUGCUGUCUAUCUUCCUAUUAACUCUGGGAAAGAAGGGCAGUGUGGAGUGGGGUAGGAGCAGAGUUGGAUGUGGCAUGGAUGGCAGGACACCAGCAGUGGUGACAAUCAGAUGCACGCGAUGUCUAAGCCCUGCCACCAAGCCCAUCCGCCACCACCCAAAAGCCUAGCUGUGAGCCCUGGCGACAUGGGCAUUGCGCUGGCCUGUUCUGUCUGCAACUGUAGCCUUAAUCUCUUCGGAAAGAUCCAUUACACUGUCUGGAGGAAGGCACUCUUCUCGAGACCUGUGAUUAACCCCAGAUUUUGAUCUUCAGUGCAGAUUUCCUGCGAGUUCUCUCUGAGCCCUCUCGAAGGAUGCGCCUCUGGGUUUAGCUACAACUUCCAAGACCAGGUCUUAAGACAGCCCUGUUAACUUGGCUGCAAACCUCCCGAUGCGUCAGCCGUGCUGCCGCAUACAGAUGGCGUCCGAGCAUCCCGGGAGAAGCCUUUCGAUUUCCAUAGGAUCAGGUCGGGUGUUUGCAAUGCGCUUUGCAUCAUGGCUACGCAAGCCUGUUAGCUUUAAUUUACCGGAGUUUCGUUUCUUUAAGACUUUUCUCCAGUCAUCUUCUCUAAGGCAUAUCAGGUUAGGGGCAGAAGGCACGUCUUAGAUCAAUAUUCCCAGCAGGAAAAGGCUCUGCAGGCUUCUGACUGCAUGGCUAGUCUUUUAUUUCCUGUGUUGUUCCAGUUCGUACUGAAGGGGAGAGUUACUUGUUUCUUUAUCCUGCCAUAUUAAAUAAAAUCCUGGUUUAGAGUUAGGCGAGGCUUUAUAAGGAAGAUAAAAGAGCUGUUUUUAAUAAACAGGGUGGAAUGAUAAGGCACGUCUUCUCUCGGCAGCAUUCAGUAAUACAAUCCGAGCACCAGGAUCUCCAGCUACGUGGAGGAUCGUUGUCCACGGGACUGAUCAACCAGCUGUUUGCUGUCCCACCCAGAAAGAGAACGGGAGGGAGCGUUCGAAUUGUGGCAUUUAGGCGUGGGGUUCGACUGGGCUUUGAAGAAGUUCAAACCAGCACAGGCGGUUGUUGGGCUGGGGCAUGUCCAGUAGGGGUGCAGCGAGCACCUGCUGUGGGGGGCGGACCAUCCCGGGGCUCUCAUCUGUCGUGUGAAAGCAGAAACGAUCGCCGGACCCACGCUGCAGUGGGGAGAGAUCGUAUUUUUCGAAGUCACUCAGGUGGUUUUGUGCUGGCAGCAAAAUGAGUGUUUACUUUCUGAAGCCAACAGUUCAUGUAACAAGCCCCUUAGCAUGCUAGCAGAACAUCUCUCCGAGGUUUUCCUCGUGUCUGUCUUCACUGGCUAAUUUCGAUGCAAUUUCGAGGCAAGACUUAGCCUCUUAUAGGUAUCCCCUGGCACCUCUGUUUUCACUCCUCUGCUGACACAAGACACCAUGAGAGACGCCUGAACCCAGGCCCUGACGUGUGGCGGAAUAUUAGCUAAGCAACUCUGGGGAUCCUGGUCAUUACUUAGAAGGGAAACCCAGGGGAAAAUGAAGUUCGUUUUAGUCAAGGCAGAGGAGGGCAGCCUGCAAGGGGCUUACGGUCUGUUGGGAAAGGCAACAUGUAAGGUGUAACUCCGACGUCCUCAGGCUUCACCUAUCGGUGACUACAAAAUAUGACUAUUUCCUUCGUUAUCUCAAACACAAAGAUGCCAGGCUACGACUCUCUACCUACUGUCUGGCACAGGGACGGAGAAGCCCAGCAAAAAUCUGUUGCGAAAUACAUGUGCAACGUUGGUGAGGACGCAGCAUCGACAGACUGCCGACGACACUGGCAGAGUCUCAUGGGAGUCUCAUUCUAUAAGUGAUCAGCCCAGAGAAUGCUGGCUGAGGUCUUCACUUCUAAUAACCAAGAACAGUACUCAGAUUUAUUAACCACUUACCAUGUUUGAGGUAUUGUCCAAAGUUCUUUACAACAGUCCUUACAAAGGGUUCCCUUAUUACCUCAGGUUAUAGGUGAGGAAACUGAGGAACAGAGAGGUUCAUAACUGGCUCAGUGUAACACAGCUUUGAACCCGAUUGGGUUGGCGUUGCAACCCCCGGAGAGUGGAGAGGCUGGUAGACGAGAGUGCUCAACUGAGAAAUUGGCUGCGGCCAACAGGAGGCCGGAAGGAGGGAGUGACAGGCAAGGCAGAGACUAGGCAACAAUCGAGUAGGCAAAGGAUGAAGAGUCACUACCAAUUUUAGUCUUUGGAAAAGAGCUGGCAGUGCCCAGAGACACCCCAACAUGAAGGAAAUGACUGCAUGGCCUCCAAGGGAAGCGACUUUGAAGGAGAUGGGCAACUUCUGCUAAGCUAGCUCUGCCCCACCUAGGUUUCACUUUUUUUGGAAUCUCCCAUCACACAUUCCUCUUCUAGUAACUACCCAAACCGCAGCUAAUUUUCAAGGUAUUAAAAAUGGGUUUGUUGACCCAUUUUUGGGUUCUGUGUAAAAUUACACAGAAUAAGGAGUGGAGGGGGGUGAAAUAUAGCUAAAGAAUCAUCUCUAUAUUUCAGGGAGAAAACUCAACUGACACCCAUCUAGUUGUUUGGGUAGUUGAGACAUGGCCAGUGUUAAAAUGAUAUCAAAGACUAUUUCAGCCUCCAGGAAUUUUUCAAAACCACAUUUUUUUUUUUUUUUUUUGCCGACCCAUCCUGUGGUGUGUGUGUGUGUGUGUUUUGCUUGUUUGUUUGCUUGUUUUAUCCUUUGUUUUCCCAAAAGCUGAAGAAGAAGAAUUUCGAACCCGUCUUAAAGUUUUGUUUAAGUUCAUGCUUGUCAUAGUCUGACUUAUUUCAGAUUUUGUCCACAAUUCAAACUCAAAAUAUAAUUCUAUAAUAAUAUUCAUGGCCAAGUGUCUUUCUACUUAGAAGCCAAAGAGUAGAGAAGUUGUCUUCUAGAAUUUCUUUUUUAUUGUAAUUUUGGCUACCUCCAGUCUACCCUGUCUGUCUCUCUUUUGAAAAAUCUUGUCUACCUUUCCCUGGCCCAAAUUUUUAUUCUUCUAUUCUGUUCAGGCCAGAAUGACUUAA